rnacentral:rRNA from 1 species
GAUGAACGCUAGCGGGAGGCCUAACACAUGCAAGCCGAGCGGUAUUUGUUCUUCGGAACAGAGAGAGCGGCGCACGGGUGCGGAACACGUGUGCAACCUGCCUUUAUCUGGGGGAUAGCCUUUCGAAAGGAAGAUUAAUACCCCAUAAUAUAUUGAGUGGCAUCAUUUGAUAUUGAAAACUCCGGUGGAUAGAGAUGGGCACGCGCAAGAUUAGAUAGUUGGUGAGGUAACGGCUCACCAAGUCAAUGAUCUUUAGGGGGCCUGAGAGGGUGAUCCCCCACACUGGUACUGAGACACGGACCAGACUCCUACGGGAGGCAGCAGUGAGGAAUAUUGGACAAUGGGUUAGCGCCUGAUCCAGCCAACCCGCGUGAAGGACGACGGCCCUAUGGGUUGUAAACUUCUUUUGUAUAGGGAUAAACCUACUCUCGUGAGAGUAGCUGAAGGUACUAUACGAAUAAGCACCGGCUAACUCCGUG